rnacentral:rRNA from 1 species
GCUUGUCUCAAAGAUUAAGCCAUGCAUGUCUAAGUAUAAGCCUUUACACGGUGAGACUGCGAAUGGCUCAUUAAAUCAGAAACUGUUUAUUUGAUAGUGCCUACUACUUGGAUAACCGUAGUAAUUCUAGAGCUAAUACAUGCAAAAAGCCUGGACUUCUGGAACAGGCGUAUUUAUUAGAUAUACAAACCAACCGCUUCGGCGACCUUGGGUGACUCAUAAUAACUUUGCGAAUCGCAUGGCCUUGCGCCGGCGAUGAAUCAUUCAAAUUUCUGCCCUAUCAACUUUCGAUGGUAAGGUAUUGGCUUACCAUGGUCGCAACGGGUAACGGGGAAUAAGGGUUCGGUUCCGGAGAGGGAGCCUGAGAAAUGGCUACCACAUCCAAGGAAGGCAGCAGG